rnacentral:rRNA from 1 species
UGACCUCGGAUCGGGUCGGGAUACUCAUUGAACUUAACCAUUUCACAAUCCUAACGAAGGGAUGUGGUGACAAUCUGACCUCAACUCAGGUAGGACUACAUUCCUUAAAAUUUCUGAUAUCAAUACAGGGUAGGGACUACCCGCUGAACUUAAGCAUAUCAAUAAGCCGGAGGGAUGUAUGGUAUUUCAGAGCAGGAAGGCGGAUUCACUCAUAACUUUCGAAGUUGGAUGUGUCGGGGCUCUGCAUCAAUAAAAAAGACGACUGAGUGGGUUUAACUAAUGUUGAAUAGCACAGCCGUCUUGGGAUUCAUCAGAUCUUUGAACCGCUGAUAGGGCGCCGGGGAUUUCGCGCGAGGACAAGGCUGCUCUAGCUUCAUCGCGUCAUAGCCGCCUGUGUGUGUGUGUGUCACCGCUCCCACCGGAGGAUAUAGGGGCUCAGAGGAAUGCGCCCCUGGUCGUCUGCGGGUACCGAAG